CUUCUGACGCGCCACCUGCGGAGUCUAUAAAGAGGGGCGGGGGCGAAGGCGUUUGCUUAGGAAGCUGCGAAGCUCGUGAUUGGUCAGUUUUUCGCUAAACUCCUAAACAUUUUUGGAAGUCGCGGAGCAUGCUGGCUGAGUCUUUGGAGCACCUGAUCUCCUAACAAUUCUGGAGGCAUCUGGGCUGAAGAAAUAGAGACUAGUAUAGAUAUUGGAUGGAUGGAUGGAUGGAAAGGGAUGAAUUGAGAGAAAUACAUAAUAGCUAAAGCAAUGUGCACAGGUGCUCCAGUUCCCAGCAUUCCAACCAGCUGCAACCCAACCCUCCUGGAGGGCACCAAGUUGGAGAAGACUGCACAAUGGAUGAACCUUGCUUCAAGAUCAUCAGCAACAAUGGUUAAGGCACCUGACAUCUGGAUGGAUGGGUGGAUAGAAGAAAUAAUGUUUAAACUUUAAGGUGAUCUCCAUCAGUUGAUAGAGAUGUCAAAGAUUCCCUGCUAGCUUCUGAAAUUCUUCUCCUGCAGAUGCUGUAAUUCCUACAUUGCCAUGUUAUACCUCUCACCCUCUUAACACACAGUCAUUCUCCAAUUGCUCUCUCAGAUCACAUAGGGGUGCAUAGAAGCCAAGUCAGUGGAGAACAAGGCACCUCUUGUCCAGUGUCUCUUUUAACAACUCCAUACUAAAGUUAACAAUCCAGAGACAAACAGAGCAAACAGAGAAGGGGAAUUGAGGCAAUUGAAAAAGUAUGUGUUAGAUUCAAGUCUACUAGAGAUCAGAGUUGGGUGGUUACACCUUUCCUCCACCCUCUGGAAAUUCUCAAGGAAAGGAUAAGUACCAGGAUUAUUUCCUUGGCCCUCUAGAGCAGUGUUUUUCAAACUUGGCUACAUUCAUACCUGUGGGCUUCAACUCCCAUAAUGCUGGCUGGGAAAUUCUGGGAGUUGAAGUCCACGUAUCUUAAAGUUGCCACAUUUGAAAAAUGCUGCUUUACAGGACUUUGCUGUUUUAAUUCCUUAGUCAGCAGCUAUUCCAUCACCCUAGUUAGUUGUUGCAAGAACUUUAAAAACUGGUACUGCUUUUGUUUAUUCUUUUCUCUCUUCCCCCUCUCAAUGCCUUUUUCUUGUGGGACAAAUGUAAAUAGGAACUAAUCAUGUCUGUAAAUUAGCCCAAAUGUGAUUAACAUAAUCAAAUACAUCAAUAAAUAAAAUCCUUGCAACAUUUUGUUUAUUAGUUUAUCAUUUUAAACUACUAUUGUAAACCUAAGAAAGGAAAUGCCCCCUUGUGGUCUUGAAGGGCCAUGAGCUUUCUAUUGUGGUCUCAUUGCAGCUUGCAUAAAGAUUGUUCUACCGUAUAUCCAUAGAAUAGGUCAUUUUUCUGAGAGAUUUCAGCUAAAUCUGAGCCUAGCAGCAUUUGUAAUACAGGUAAUACAGAGUCUUAGAGGCAGAUACUCUUCUGUUGUUCCCCUAGCAGGGACUCAAGGAUUCUCCUCUACCUAAUUCCAAAGACAAUUUGGGGCCGGAGAACAUAACUUUCACAACAUUUAUCACUCCUCUUAUCUGAUAAAAACCCAAAUAUAUCCAGCUAAGUUCCCCAGUUUUAUGCUCCAUUAUAUGCUAUUCAUCUUACUGUAGUUGAAGAUUGAUUCAUUUACUUACUUGCAUUUUAUAUCAUUUUGUUAAAUUACAAUUAUACUUUUAUCAUUGUAUUUUUAUACUGUAUUUUAUACUGUAUUCUUAUGCCUUAUUAUGACUUAUAUAUAUACUUAUUGUUUGUAGAAUUGACAUAUGUGUGUAUUUAAUAUUCACUUACUUUUUAGAUUGUAUGGCCUUAUUCUUGAAUAAACUGUCUAAUUUUGAUACAUGUAAGAUUGGAGGAAUUGGUAUUUACUACCAAACUUUUUUCUGGAGAGCUGGGCAACAGGAUGAACAUACAUAUAAAAGUAUAGAAAAUAUAUAUUUAUUAUAAUAAUUUUAUCCAAGAAACUAAAGAUGGUACA